CUCCCUGUGAUGAACGAACUGAGCAGCAGGAUCUACACUGCCCAUCUAUCCGGUGACGCAAAUAAGCCGGAACAGCUAGCUAUCAUCCAUGCUCACAUCUAGCUAUCGACACAGAAACACAUGGAAACUCCGGCGGUCCAAGAUCUGAUGCCCUGUUCGGAGGACGACCGGUUGAAGGGCUGCAGCGCGAUUGCAUCGACGAUGCUUCCAGUGGAAAUUCCCAGCACCCCAUCUGAUCCAAUUGCGCAGUUGGCUGCUGCUUCGAGCGAACAACGCACAAAGCCUCGUGCUCCCUCGAGUUGCCAUGCUACGCUGGAACCUCCACCUGAAUCUCUGCACAAAUCUGAAUCCGGAGACGCUGAUGAUGCGUCUCAUGCGGUGGUCGUCAGAACACACGUCGAGACGCUGCCGUCGGCCGAUUUUGUUGGCUGGAAGAAGAGGAACAAGGGCAUGAAGGGCAACACGGCUCUGCAACGGAUAAUUUUAGGAGCUGGUGGUUGUGAUAGUAAAGACAUUUUUACACCUUCCGUAGGGAUGUAAUUUGAUUCUAGACAGGAAGAGUUUGAUGUAUACAACUUGUUCUCGUGGGAGCAAGGGUUUGGGAUUCAUCAUGGGCGCAGUCGUAUAAACAAGCAUGGGUACAGGAGCAUUCAUGAAAUUGUUUGUCAAUGCCAGGGCAAGCCAAACAAGGAGAACAGUGCAUCGUGCAGAACUGACUGUGGCGCUAUGAUUAGGUUGCUCCAUACCCAUGAUCAUGGAUGGUACAUCUCAAUAUUCAACAAAAAUCACAAUCAUAGGUUAUCACCAAGUUGUGAUGAGAAGAGGCAAUGGAACUGUCACAACGAAAUUGAUCCAUUGGACCUAGAUUUCGUGAAAAACCUAAGGCAGAACAACAUCAGUGUUGGUAAAGUUUAUAACAUUCUGGGAUCAGCAGGUGGGAACAACGGUUCUGUACCAUUUCGGAAACAAGCACUACGGAACCUUUGUUCGAAGAUAUCUCAAGAGGCCAUGGAAGAUGAUCUUCCGAAGACCGUUACGUUACUGCAGGAGAUGAGAACACGAGACACUGGCAUUGAUAUUGACACCGAAGGAAGGGUAAAGACAAUGAUCUGGAGUACUGGACGGAACAAGGCAGACUACGAGUGUUUUGUCGAUGCUAUCACAUUUGACACAACUUACAAGACAAAUUUGUAUAACAUGCCCUUUGGUCUUUUUGUUGGUGUCAACAACCAUUAUCAAUCUGUGAUUUUUGCCGGUGUUCUUAUGAGGGAAGGAACAACCACAUCCUUUGAAUGGGUGUUCAGGAGCUUCGUAUCCAUCAUGAAGACCAAAUACCCAAGCACCAUACUAACAGACCAGUGUCAAGCUAUGCGUGCUGCUAUACAGAGCACUUUACCAGACACACGUCACCGGUGGCGCAAGUGGCAUGUUCUGAGGAAUGCAAAAGAAAAACUGGGUCACAUCUACAGCUAGUAUUCUGCUUUCAAGAAGAAGUUCCACACACUCAUUAACGAGAUUAUGCCGCCAGAGGAUUUCGAGCAUAGAUGGACUGAUCUGGUGUCAAGGUACGAACUCAAAGAUAAUGUGUAUAUCGAACGGCUAUUUGCAAACAGGAAUAUGUGGGCAAAACCAUAUUUUCUUGGUGUUUUCUGUGCCGGUAUGACAAGCACACAAAGGAGCGAGAGCGCAAAUUCAUUGCUAAAGCAAUACAUUACAAGGUCAUCACCGAUGCAUCUUUUCGUCCAGCAGUACAACAAUCUACUCAGUUCUCGUGUGGCCGAUGAAGGACGGGAAGAGCAUGCCACGCUUCAGAGACGACGUAUAUGUACGUCGACGACACCGAUAGAAGCAAAUGCCGCUCAAAUAUACACAAGGGCUAUGUUUGAAAUGUUCAAGGAGGAGCUGUACUUGUCUGGUUCGUAUGUAGUCAAUGAUGGAGGUGACAGGAAGACAUUUCUGGUAACACUAGCACCAACUGAGCAUGCACAAUCAGAAGUCGCGAAAAGAUAUGUUGUAUCCAUAGAGGAUGCUGUGCCGACACGCGCUGAAGGUACUGGUGCGUAAUGAUGUAUUGCACAUCCCGCCAAAAAAUAUCAUGAAGAGGUGCACAAAGAACGCAAGAGUUUUUUCUCAGUCAGAUAACGAUAUCGUAUCAAAAGGGAAAUAUGUUGAUGACCCAUCGUACGGCCACAACAUACUCACAUUAGCUGCUCGCGAAAUGGUAAAGGAAUCAGCUGGCCACACGGCUUUUUUUAUAUGUUGCGAUGAAAGGAAUACGGAAAAUACGGGCAGACGUGGGUAAGUUGAAGCAGGACAAUGCGUUCGCUGACAAACGUGUGUUGCUGGAAAUACCAGCUAAUGUUGCGAAUCAAGAUCUAAAGCCACCGGAAAGAAAAAGAACCCCUGGCAGACCAUCGGUUGUGAGGCCACGAUCAAGGAUGGAGUACAUAUCUGAUGUAAAAAGAAAGACACGAGCAGUGGACAGCCUAUAUGGCAUAGAAGGUGUUGAUGCAAAGAGUUGUUGGACUUCAACGGAGAUAGUUGGAUCAGAAAGCAAGAUGAUUAAGCGCCCAGUAAAGUGCUCCUUGUGUCAUGCGACAGGGCAUAAUCGAUCCAAGUGCAAGCAGCGCGGCAUGUAAUAUGUGCGGUGUUCUUUGCUACUUUGUUCACUGGUGUUUGAUCCCUUCUUUUGACCUAGUAUCAGCAUAUGUAUUUUGCUUGUCAAUCCAAUGUAGUGUAUCUUCACCUACUAAAUAAAAAAUGUAGUCUGAAUCAUGGAACAAAUAACUGUUCGCACCAGCGUUCUCCAGUAAUAAUAAAACAUCUCGUGUGCAAUGGCCAUGUUUA